GAUGAACGCUGGCGGCGUGCCUAAUACAUGCCAGUCGAGCGAACGGACGAGAAGCUUGCUUCUCUGAUGUUAGCGGCGGACGGGUGAGUAACACGCGGAUAACCUACCUAUAAGACUGGGAUAACUUCGGGAAACCGGAGCUAAUACCGGAUGAUAUUUUGAACCGCAUGGUUCAAAAGUGAAAGACGGUCUUGCUGUCACUUAUAGAUGGAUCCGCGCUGCAUUAGCUAGUUGGUAAGGUAACGGCUUACCAAGGCAACGAUGCAUAGCCGACCUGAGAGGGUGAUCGGCCACACUGGAACUGAGACACGGUCCAGACUCCUACGGGAGGCAGCAGUAGGGAAUCUUCCGCAAUGGGCGAAAGCCUGACGGAGCAACGCCGCGUGAGUGAUGAAGGUCUUCGGAUCGUAAAACUCUGUUAUUAGGGAAGAACAUAUGUGUAAGUAACUGUGCACAUCUUGACGGUACCUAAUCAGAAAGCCACGGCUAACUACGUG
rnacentral:rRNA from 1 species